CCUACGGGUGGCAGCAGUGAGGAAUAUUGGUCAAUGGACGGAAGUCUGAACCAGCCAUGCCGCGUGCAGGAGGACGGCUCUAUGAGUUGUAAACUGCUUUUGUACAAGGGUAAACCUGCGUUCGUGUAUUCAGCUGCAAUUACUGUACGAAUCAGGAUAGGCUAACGCCGUGCCAGCAGCCGCGGUACUACGGAGGGUCCAAGCGUUAUCCGGAUUUAUUGGGUUUAAGGGGUGCGUAGGCGGAUUGAUAAGUUAGAGGUGAAAUGUCCGGGCUUAACUCGGGAACUGCCUCUAAUACUGGUGAUCGAGAGAGUAGAAGCGGUAGGCGGAAUGUAUGGUGUAGCGGUGAAAUGCGUAGAGAUCAUACAGAACACCGAGUGCGAAGGCAGCUUACCAAUCUAUAACUGACGCUGAGGCACGAAAGCGUGGGGAGCAAACAGGAUUAGAUACCCGAGUAGUC
rnacentral:rRNA from 1 species